GUAGCUUCUACUCUAGUCUUUAUUCUUUCGUUUUAGUGGCUAGACAUUUUUAUCAAGCACUAGCCUUUUGAUUAAUUAGUAGCUAGGUAGAUUGUGUUUUCUUUAUUUAGCUAGAAUUAUUCAGAUGUUGCCUUUUAUUCUUUUUCUACAAAUAAAUUUUCCUAUUUUAUUAAUUGUUCCUCUUAAUGUUGUACAUAUGUGUUUUAAUGGCCCCUUAGAUUAAACUACUAGAAAAUGACUAUUUUUUGACUGCAAAUACAGCCGGAAAGUGAUCAGAAAAUGCUAAUUUCCGACUAUAUUCAGACCGAAAAGUCGUAGUCGCAAAAUAGUUGGUCUGAAAUAGUUUGCGACCGAAUCCGUCCGUAAUUUGCGACUACAGCGAUCGGAAAGUCAAAAUAGAAAAAAGACUAAUAAAUGUGGUCAAUUGUCCGACUGACGUGGUCGCAAAUAAUUUAAAUUAAAUUUUAAUUUUAUAUUAACUUUCCCACUACUUCAGUCGCAAACGGUAUACAUAAUUAUAAUUUUAUUUAAUCUUUCUCACUGGAGUGGUCGCAAAUAAUAUAAAGUAUUUUUAUUUUAUUUGAGUUUUUCCACUACUGUGGUCGCAAAACUAAUUUAAAAUUAUUUAUUUAUUUAUAUUCCGACUACUGUGGUUGCAAAUCUAAUUUAAUAUUUUUUUUAAUUUAAUUUUUCCACUACAGCAGUCGCAAAUGUUCGUAGAAAUUUUUUGAUAGAUUCCAGCUCUUUUAAAGCACCACCGGCUGCCAAUUCAAAUAUACAGCAACUAACCAAUUAAUCUACCAUGCGAACCAAUUAUUCCACAAUGUCAACCAAUCAAUCCGCCAUUUCAACCAGUCAAUCUACCAUUGCAACUAAUCAAAUCCAUAAAAUGCAAAACAUAAAUAUUUGUAACUAAAAUAUUCAAAAAGAGUUAAACAAUAUUGCAUUUUUUUUGUGGGUGAGAUAUUGCGUUUAUCCAUUAAUUUCAUUUGUCAAACAAUAUUUUAUUCCUUUUCUUAAUUUUAUGUCAUAUAUAUGAGUUUAUCCGUAAACAGAUUAAUAGAAAUUUAUUAUAACAUCUGUGAGAUACUGGUGUUUAUCUUUUUCUUUGUCAGUCAGUAUAUUGUUUUCCAAAAUUAACUGAUCAAUAAUUAACGGAUUAAUAAAAAUUAGUUAGUUGUCCUGAUUAAGCUUAAAAAUGUACGAACUAUUACAUCAUACACCCUAGUACUCUAAUCGCAUACCAUAAGGUUUUGUAAAUACCACCAAACAAACAUAAUGUGUUUCCUUCCGAACGUUGCCUUAUUUAUUUCCUUGUUAAAACUUUUACCGGAAGUAAUUUAUUGGAUAGCAAAUUUUUCGUUUGUCCCGUUUUUAUGACAUUACUAUCUUAUAUAUGGAUUCAAGCAACUUUUCUCUUAGACUACAAUAUGUUGCAAUACUUUAAAGUAGUUUGUUAUAAAAGCUGUAAUUUAUAGUACUUUUGUAUAAAGUAGUUUGGUAUCUGUGCUUGGAAAUAUAUAUAUUAUUCUUCUUCUUUCUUUUGCUGUAAAUUGUUUUUGAAACAGAAUGUUAGUUCAAUAUGCAUAAAGGUAGAACCUAUGUAACUUUUUCAAUCUCCCAAACUUACCUUCACAUGAUUUGCCCAAAUGUCAGGGACCACUGAUGGUAGAACCAUUAAACACGUGCUUCCUCGCAUCAUCAUAUAGGAUAUUUACGAUGAUCGACGUUUCAUCAUCUGUCUAUUUAUCAGCAGAAGCACCACGUGAUUUAUCAGUUGAACCACGUGGUCUAUUCAUUCUUUUACGUUUCUACAAUACAAUAAUAAUAGGGCAACAUAUCACAUGCCUAACUUCAUUUUCUUAGAGUGCAUAAAAUCCAAAAGCAUACCUUAAACUAUAUGGAAGGCAUACUAAUACAAGCAGAAGGAUUAAAAUUUAAAGUAUGUUAUCCUAUUAACCGGUAGAGGCAGAGCCACAAAAUUCUCAUCGGAAAUCUCAAAACUAGCUUCAGGUAUUAUGGGCAUUACAAAACUUUAAAAGCAAGGCCAAAACAUUAGCUGCAUCAGCCGAAUGAUACAAAAAAAAUAAAGCAUAAAGAUGCUAUAUAAAAGGGAAAGAAAUUAUUUUUUUGAGUUGCGUCUGCUUCCCAAUAUCCAAAUUGCAUAACCACAUAAACAUCUGGGCUGAAAAGAGUAACUUUUCCGACCAACACAAGACCACAGUUUCAAUCAAACACAACCGGAAAAAAAAAAGAAAUAAAGAGAAAUAGCCAUUUAUCGUCAUCACAAGCAAAGAUUAGUCAAUGUAGGAGAUGAGAGACCUCAUAUACAUAGGAGGGUUUACAAAUCUGAAGAAAAACUCAUACAAAUCAAGCAAAACAAAUCUGAAAAAAAUUCAUACAGAACUAGUGAAACAAAUCCGAAGAAAAUUCAUACAAAUCUGCAGAAAAUUUAAACAAGUAUUAGCAGAUUUUACCAAAUUACCUUCAAAUUUCGUCUUUGUUGUGGAUUGCAAUCGAUUGGCACGGAGAAUUUGCGGUGGAGUUCUCUUCUGUUUAUAGAGGGCAAAGCAAACGCGUGAGUUUAAUGAGAGGCAAGUGAGCAGAUAUGGUUUAGUUGGUCGUAAUAAAUGUGGGCUCUUUUACAAACUAUAAAAAUUUGGGGUAAUAUUUAAAAAAUUUAAAAAAUAUAACGGUCAUGUUUUGGUCCAAAAUCAGCAAUUGAGGUGAUUUUGAGAUUUGGGAUUGAGAAUUUGGGAUUUUGCCAAAAUGUAGGUAAAAUCUAUGACCAAACAUGUAUUUGCCAAAUAAAUCUCAAAUUUAUUUUGACAAAACUCAUGGCCAAACGGGACCUUAGUGUAAAUUAUUGUUGAGUUGAGAUUGAGCAUUAGAGGGCUUGAGGCUCAUGCUCUUAACGAGAUCAUUCUCUUUGGGAGAGAGGAACUACGAAAGGAAGAAAGCGAGAGAAGCUCAGAC
rnacentral:lncRNA from 1 species